CUGAAUUGUAAAUCGAUAAAUGUCGUCUACGGAUUAGAGUGUAACCUUUUUGGAUUGUUAUACGUCGGUAAAACAAAAGGAAGGUUUAACAAACAUGCGGUCAUAGAUCAGACAUUAACCUCAAUGCAAACGACAUUCUUUACCAGCAUCUUAAUCAGCCUGAUCAUUCCAUUGUUUCCAUGACAGUUCGCAUUAUCGAAAAAUAUACCAAAGC
rnacentral:lncRNA from 1 species